UUCACAAAUUCCAAAGCUCCCUAACCAGGACUUAUUAGAAUUAGUCACAAAAACUCUAUGAUGCACAUUUGGGGACAAUAGCUUUGAAGAGAAAGUCAUGAAAAACUAUCACUAGAAAAUGAUGAUGCAAAUAGAUAUACAUAUGGACUAAGAGGUAUGAAUUAAGAGAGUUGACAUCCUCUGCCUCUGCCCUAAAUAUAACAUUUAGAUGGUUUGAGCAAAACUCUAUAUUUUGCAUAGCCAAAUAUAUCACCUUUCCUUUCUCAAAAAGGAUAUUUGAUCAAGUUUUUCUCAACUAAACACAGCACACAAAAUACUAAAGCACAAAUUCAUCAGUCAGCCAUAGUAUUUAUUUCCAAAAGUUUUUGACAAUUUGUAGUACCAGCCCUUCUGAGUUGGGUUACGAGGCAUGAUGAUCAAAGAGGGAACCUUCUGGAAGCACUAUUUGACUCUUUAGUUCCAAGAGAGACAAGCAGGUCAGUAUAGUUCUGUGAAAAGGAUGACAGGCCGGGAGCAAGUUGGCUGUACUUUUUGGCAACUAUUUAGUUUUGUAAUUGUUUAUAUGAGAAACAAUCAGCCAGACCGUGCACAUUUCCCACAGAAAGGGCCUGAUCCAAGUUGGUAUGAAGGCAGGUGAUUUCAUCAGGACCAACAGAACACAUAUGAAAUGGCAGCCUCUGCACAGCACCAGGAUCUGCUUUUAAUUUACUUUGCCAUCUUCUACUUACAGACAAAAAACAUGGAAGCAGAAAUUUUAUAAAGUGAUUUUUCCCAAUAUCUCCUUUAUGUUUAUUUCUCUCUGGUAGUAGGCC
rnacentral:lncRNA from 1 species